ensembl:snRNA U6 U6 spliceosomal RNA
GCCCUCCCUUGGACAGCACAUACACUAAAACAAUAAGAGAUGAUUAUCAUGGCCCCUGUGCAGGGAUGGCACGCAAAUUCAUGAAGCGUUUCCUAUAAAA